rnacentral:rRNA from 1 species
GACGAACGCUGGCGGCGUGCUUAACACAUGCAAGUCGAACGGAAGGGCCCUGCUUUUGUGGGGUGCUCGAUUGGCGAACGGGUGAGUAACACGUGAGUAACCUGCCCUUGACUUUGGGAUAACUUCAGGAAACUGGGGCUAAUACCGGAUAGGAGCUCCUGCUGCACGGGGGGGGUUGGAAAGUUUCGGCGGUUGGGGCUGGACUCGCGGCUUAUCCGCUUGUUGGUGGGGUAGUGGCGUACCAAGGCUUUGACGGGUAGCCGGCCUGGGAGGGUGACCGGCCACAUUGGGACUAAGAUAGGGCCCAGAAUCCUACGGGAGGCAGCAGUGGGGAAUAUUGCGCAAUGGGCGGAAGCCUGAGGCAGAAACGCCGCGUGCGGGAUGACGGCCUUCGGGUUGUAAACCGAUUUCGCCUGUGACGAAGCGUGAGUGACGGUAAUGGGUAAAGAAGCACCGGCUAACUACGUG